rnacentral:rRNA from 1 species
AACGUACGCUGGCGGCACGCCUAACACAUGCAAGUCGAACGAAGUAGCAAUACUUAGUGGCAGACGGGUGAGUAACAUGUAGGUAUCUGCCCUUUGGCCUGGAAUAACACGAGGAAACUUGUGCUAAUACCGGAUAAGUCUUUACGGAGAAAGCUUUAUGCACCAUUGGAUGAGCCUGCACUUGAUUAGUUUGUUGGUGGGGUAAUGGCCUACCAAGACUGUGAUCAAUAGCUGAUUUGAGAGGAUGAUCAGCCACAUUGGGACUGAGACACGGCCCAAACUCCUACGGGAGGCAGCAGUGGGGAAUCUUGCACAAUGGAGGAAACUCUGAUGCAGCGAUGCCGCGUGAGUGAAGAAGGCCCUUGGGUUGUAAAGCUCUUUCGUCGGGGAAGAAAAUGACUGUACCCGAAUAAGAAGGUCCGGCUAACUUCGUGCCAGCAGCCGCGGUAAUACGAAGGGACCUAGCGUAGUUCGGAAUUACUGGGCUUAAAGAGUUCGUAGGUGGUUGAAAAAGUUAGUGGUGAAAUCCCAGAGCUUAACUCUGGAACUGCCAUUAAAACUUUUCAGCUAGAGUAUGAUAGAGGAAAGCAGAAUUUCUAGUGUAGAGGUGAAAUUCGUAGAUAUUAGAAAGAAUACCAAUUGCGAAGGCAGCUUUCUGGAUCAUUACUGACACUGAGGAACGAAAGCAUGGGUAGCGAAGAGGAUUAGAUACCCUCGUAGUCCAUGCCGUAAACGAUGUGUGUUAGACGUUGGAAAUUUAUUUUCAGUGUCGCAGGGAAACCGAUAAACACACCGCCUGGGGAGUACGACCGCAAGGUUAAAACUCAAAUGAAUUGACGGGGACCCGCACAAGUAGUGGAGCAUGUGGUUUAAUUCGAAGAUACGCGCAGAACCUUACCAACACUUGACAUGUUCGUCGCGACUCUAAGAGAUUAGAGUUUUCGGUUCGGCCGGACGAAACACAGGUGCUGCAUGGCUGUCGUCAGCUCGUGUCGUGAGAUGUUGGGUUAAGUCCCGCAACGAGCGCAACCCUCACUUUUAGUUGCCAUCAUUAAGUUGGGCACUCUGAAAGAACUGCCAGUGAUAAGCUGGAGGAAGGUGGGGAUGACGUCAAGUCCUCAUGGCCCUUACGUGUUGGGCUACACACGUGCUACAAUGGUAUCUACAACAGGAAGCAAGACUGCGAAGUUAAGCAAAUCCCUAAAAGAUACCUCAGUCUCGGAUUGCACUCUGCAAACUCGAGUGCAUGAAAGCUGGAAUUACUAGUAAUCGUGUCUCGGCGUGCCACGGUAAAUGCGCUCCCGGGUCU